rnacentral:rRNA from 1 species
UAGGGAAUCUUCCGCAAUGGACGAAAGUCUGACGGAGCAACGCCGCGUGAGUGAAGAAGGAUUUCGGUUCGUAAAACUCUGUUGUUAGGGAAGAAAAAAUGUAUAGUAACUAUAUACAAAAGAGACGGUACCUAACCAGAAAGCCACGGCUAACUACGUGCCAGCAGCCGCGGUAAUACGUAUGUGGCAAGCGUUGUCCGGAAUUAUUGGGCGUAAAGCGCGCGCAGGUGGUUUAGAAAGUCUGAUGUGAAAGCCCACGGCUCAACCGUGGAGGGUCAUUGGAAACUAAUAAACUUGAGUGCAGGAGAGAAAAGUGGAAUUCCUAGUGUAGCGGUGAAAUGCGUAGAGAUUAGGAGGAACACCGGUGGCGAAAGCGGCUUUUUGGCCUGCAACUGACACUGAGGCGCGAAAGCGUGGGGAGCAAACAGG